GACGAACGCUGGCGGCGUGCUUAACACAUUCAAGUCGAACGGAAAGGCCCUGCUUUUGUUGGGUGCUCGAGUGGCGAACGGGUGAGUAACACGUGAGUAACCUGCCCUUGACUUUGGUAUAACUUCAGUAAACUGGGGCUAAUACCGGAUAUGAGCUCCUGCUGCAUGGUGUGGGUUGGAAAGUUUCGGCGGUUGGGGAUGGACUCGCGGCUUAUCAGCUUGUUGGUGGGGUAGUGGCUUACCAAGGCUUUGACGGGUAGCCGGCCUGAGAGGGUGACCGGCAACAUUGGGACUGAGAUACGGCCCAGACUCAUACGGGAGGCAGCAGUGGGGAAUAUUGAACAAUGGGCGGAAGCCUGAUGCAGCAACGCCGCGUGCGGGAUAACGGCCUUCGGGUUGUAAACCGCUUUCGCCUGUGACGAAGCGUGAGUGACGGUAAUGGGUAAAGAAGCAACGGCUAAAUACGUG
rnacentral:rRNA from 1 species